AUUGAACGCUGGCGGCAUGCUUUACACAUGCAAGUCGAACGGUAACAGGGUGCUUGCACCGCUGACGAGUGGCGAACGGGUGAGUAAUGCGUCGGAACGUGCCGAGUAGUGGGGGAUAACGCAGCGAAAGUUGUGCUAAUACCGCAUACGUACUGAGGUAGAAAGUGGGGGACCUUCGGGCCUCACGCUAUUCGAGCGGCCGACGUCUGAUUAGCUAGUAGGUGGGGUAAAGGCUCACCGAGGCGACGAUCAGAAGCGGGUCUGAGAGGAUGAUCCGCCACACUGGGACUGAGACACGGCCCAGACUCCUACGGGAGGCAGCAGUGGGGAAUUUUGGACAAUGGGCGAAAGCCUGAUCCAGCCAUGCCGCGUGUCUGAAGAAGGCCUUCGGGUUGUAAAGGACUUUUGUCAGGGAGGAAAUCCCUAGUGCUAAUAACACUGGGGGAUGACAGUACCUGAAGAGUAAGCACCGGCUAACUACGUGCCAGCCGCCGCCGUAA
rnacentral:rRNA from 1 species